UGAGCAAUCUGCCCUUCUCUUCGGAAUAAGCGUGGGAAACCGCGUCUAAUGCCGAAUACGACCUCCUUUCGCAUGAUCGGAGGUGGAAAGCUCCGGCGGAGAAGGAUGAGCUCGCGGCCUAUCAGCUAGUUGGUGUGGGUAAUGGCCCACCAAGGCGACGACGGGUAGCCGGCCUGAGAGGGUGACCGGCCACACUGGGACUGAGACACGGCCCAGACCUCCUACGGGAGGNAGCG
rnacentral:rRNA from 1 species